CCCCAACUCCCUGUUUCUUUAUAAUUUCUUUAUAAUUACAUGGCAAAUAUGUACCAUGACUCUGCAGCCACCGGUUCCACCUCUGAGCCCUUUAUUCUCAUAAAACAACUCCCAUUCCUUCUCUUCUGGGCUCAGGUUCAAACAACACAAAGCUCUCCUUUUUUGGAAGGGGCCACAAAAUGCCACUUCUGCAUCUUUAACAACCUGGUGAACUUUUUCCAUGUGUGCUCCUAGUCUCGUUUAUUUCUGACUUCUCUGAAACUUUGUUCCGGGAUUUGUCAAUAUUCUCUCUCUUAUAUCAUCAACACUCCUGUUUUUUUUUUUUUGUUGUUGUUUUUAUUAGUUAUUUCCCCCACCUAUAAACAAGCUUGGCUUUUUUCUCCUGUGAGGGAUUUUCUCCGAUUGGAUACAUCCUCAAGAAAGCUUGUUUCUUUCCUACGGUGUAUACUUUUCAGGAGAGUUUCAUAGACUAUUUUCCUCUCUUUCUCCUUUUAACAUUAAUCCCUUACUUUCUCACCAGGCUUUAUCUGCACUCCUCUGUGAUCAACUGAUUUCUUGAAGGGCCCAAGGUGCGGCCUAAGGAGGCACUCCUGAGACUUUUCCGCCAGGAUGAGUGUUGAUUGGCUCUUUGCAGCUCUUUUCCUUGACAAGUGCUCUCCACUGCCAUUUUGCCCUCCUACAUCUCUGACUGCAUUUCUGUUUUGUUCUGUGGCUUCCUUUCCCAUCCCCACUCCAUAAACAUUUCCUCCUUUAGCUCCUCUUUGUGGCAAUUGUAUUUACUCUAUAAUUCUAAGACAGAAGCUCUACAGACUUUUUAAUGUUUGACAUUAGACAUUUAACCGAAGGCAUUCUAGUGGGUGUGAGGUAGAGAUCAUGCGUCUCCACUGAUGACUAAUGAUGUUGAAUACUUUUUCAUGCACAUCUUAAUGCCAGUUUUAUUUAAGGAUAUGUAAAUAUGCCUCUUUGAAUUGUCUUUUCAAGUCUUUUGGCCAUCUCAUAUUGUAUACUUUGUAUUUCUUUACUGAGCACUGGAGGAGUGCUUUUCUACUUUCUGGAUGACAGCCUUUUGACAGAUGUAGGUCUUUCUUUUCAGUGCCUUGCCUACUCCUUUUCAAUGGUGUCUCUUGAGAACGUUGAUGUUUUCAUGUUGAUGCAGUCUAAUUUAUUUUAACUUAUGGCAGUUCUAUUUUAUCCAGAUAAGUAAAGAUAUUCUCUUGCAGGAUUGUAAAGUUAGUUUCCUGUGGUAUUCCCUGGGCGUUUGGAAAUGUAGGAUUUAUAUUCAUGUCUAUGAUGUGUCCCCUAUUAAUUUUUGAGUGUAACGUCAGGUAGUGGCUGAGGUUUAUUUUUGAUCCCUAGGAAUAUUGAAUUCUUCUGGCACCGUAAGUUAAAAACUAUUUUCCCCUUUGAAUUGUUGUGGAGGAGGUCAUCUGUAGAUGUGACCUCUGGGUGACCUGAAAGCUGGCCCCGGGCAGUCAGAGGCUCCUCACCCGCCCCCUCACCUGUCUUUGGAACUUUUGCUCUGCCCAUUGUUCCCACGUGGGAGCUGUUUACAAGGAUGCAGCCUUAAGAGAGUGAGGUAUUGUGGAGACAGCUGGGCGGGAGGCACGGCUGACCCCAGUUAAGGUCUAUUUAUGAAGUUGUAAGAUUCUGGAGAGCAUACAGGGAGAUCUACUCAUCUUACUGCCAAGAGAAGCCCGGGUUACAUGGGAUGGCUGAUAUAACCUACUGUAUCCUACGUGCCAGCAGAAGGCAUCUCCUGGGAUACUAAAGUUUGGAGUCCCUUUUGACUUAAGGUAGGAGGGAGAGUCUAUUUCCAGCUAUGGAAUCAAGGUCAGAAGCAGAAGUUCCAGUCCUUGCUAGAGAAGUAGAAGGAGGAGAUGGGGGAAAGAGGAGCAGGAAGACAAAGAGGAAGAAGAGGAAGAAAAAGAAGAGUCAGAGAAGAAGACACAAAGUGCCAAGAACUAUCAGGAAAUAUAAAAAUUGUGGGUGGCAUCUUACAAGCUUAGUUUUUAACAAGAGAGUUUCCUUCUGCCAUUGAAAUGGACAUUUAUUCAGCCCACUGAUAUUGAGCUAUAUAACUUUACUUUACCAGAGGAAAAUUGGAUCUGUCACUAGUUAAUUACGUUAGUUAAAUACCUUGAAAGGUGGUAGAAGUAAUUCACUGGGGGCAAUACCUGCCACAUUCUGACAUCUUUGUGUGGGUACAGUUAAUGAUCACCCCAUUACAAAUUUAAUCACAUGUAAAUAUAUACUGUGGCCCUUGGGACUCCAAUCAAAAUUCAACCCCAGGAAAAUGACAAUAUAAAAAAUAAAGGAGUCAAAUGUUUUCAGUAGCUCUUUUAAAAAAAUAGUUAAUCUUUGGGGAGUGCAAUAGGAAAGUUUUUCAAACCAGAUUGAUCAUUAGGAUAGAUAAAUAUUAACUCCAGAUGCACUAGAGAUUUCCUUCCUCUAUCUGUGGGCACCUCUUUAUUUCAGGGUGCCGUUAAGUCCAUAAAGUAUGACAUGGAGCUACCUGCUCUCAGAUCCCAGAUGUUGUGUGGUCAUUUUGGUACACCCCACAACCCAGUUCAAGGGUAAAUCACAGCCAAGGAUGGUCAUAUGGCUACAUUGUUUCCAAAUCUCUCAGAAAACUUCAACCUAAUGCAUUAAACUUCUCCUGCCAGAGUCAGACAUAGAACCAAUACUGUUCCCAAAAACACCCUGGCCAUUGGGUACACACCUGGUAAUAGAAUCAAGGCUUCAUACAGAUGGACAAGUACAUAGUGACUCUAGUUAGAACACCUGCUUGCAACUUAGGGAAGGUUUUCACGUCUUAACACAGUAGAUUUUCAACACAGGAAUGUUAACUGAUCUUAAUUCCCUGUAAAAGGAUGUAACAAUGAGGCUCACUCCAACCCCCCAAUGUAUUUCUGGUCAAACAUGAUGCCACAAUUUGGUGUUUUAGAAACAGUGUUUUGUUUUUUUUGUCAUAAUAGUUUGAAUAAAAUUUACUUAAGAAAACAACCUGCUAUAAAUAAAAAUUUAAAUCCACAUAGAAAUGGUUA